AUCUCGCAUGAGGCUGGCGAUGAAAAUCAGUCACUGCAUGAGUCACAAAGCAGAGAGUAUUCCAGUGAUGAUAUGAUAAUCCGUCCGAAAAUAAGGAUAAGGAGUCCGUAUGACAGAUGGAUUUAUUUCAAAUAGUGAAGAACUAUAUGCACCGAAACAAAGAGGAAACAUCAUAUGUGCGUGUGAAUUGAAGUUGACAAGUGAUGCAGUAUAUAAACUACAUAUCGUUACAGUACAUCGUCCUUUUAAACCACCUCAAGCUAAGGAUAUGUACAACACCAACAACACAACAGGUCAAGAAUAGGGAAUAUUGUGGAGAGGCAGAACAACCCGCCCAUGAUCAUACUGAUGCAAUGAAGCCACUUCCGCCCAACCCUGUCCACCAAGAGCAUGACAAGAGUGUAGGCCGGGAACUCCACCAGACCAGACAGGAAGAAGUUCAAGAAGUAGUUACCCCCAAGGUUACCGGAGUUAAGGGACAGACCAUAAUAGGCCAUUGUCACCAUGCACCUAAAGACAAAGAAAAUAUAAUUUCGUUAAAUUAUUGAAUAAUCAUGAACUUUGGACUAGGGAAAUAUUAUAGUAUUUCUAUCAUAUACAAAAAGAAAAUAUAAUUAUUCCAUUCCUGUCUAUCCUGUAACUAUGGAGAAAGUUAAACCCCUUUUUGCAUCGCUGUCACCUUACUCCAGUAGAAAUUGAAAAUACAUUCUGUAAAGUCACCACUGUGCGACGCUGGAAAGAUAACAGCAUCAAGGUAUUUGCUUUAAAUUGUUCACCUGUUAUUACGGCCGUCAGAUUGUUAGUGUAUGAUAUACUGACAACGUCAGUUAAAUAUGAAGCAUUCCCUAGCACGUGAUAGAAUCUCGUGACUGUUCUCAACAGUAUUAUUAAUACCUCUUGGUAUAAUUAAAAUUUCAGUAAUAAAGUUAGUGUUUUAAGUAUGAACCUACCAAUUUACAAAAAUCACCAAAGUUCUUAAGCAUAACACCCGUGAGGUAAAGAGCUGCCAGACUCUCCCGUCAUUUUGUUUACCGUCGUCAGUUUCCUUGUCCGAUACUUGUAACAGAUUAUCAUUUAACACGACCUUGUUCACCUUGGCUACCUUCUGUAGGACGACCUUGGCUUCUUCAUAUCUAUGUUUGGUAAUAAGCCAUCUUGGCGACUCCGGCAAUAGCCUUCGAUUAUAGAAGAUUGUAAAAAAAAGAACAAACUUUGCGAAAUAUUGUAACAUAGGGAACAAAGAAGAGGAAAAAACAGUCAUGAAAUGUAUUCAUUACACGCAACAUCACUUCUCGGAAUGCACAAGAUGGUACAGGUCAUCCAACGUUAUGUUACUACAUGUGGUACCCGUUAUAAUAUCACGUUUAUGCCACAUAGGAUAUUCACCAUUGCAUUCUUAUUUAUCACAUGUGGUAUCGUCUAAUGUCUUUUGUAAAUAUAGAGUAUCAUUCAUUGUAUUUCACGUCACCAUAUGUGUUACCCGCCUAUUGCUUUCUAUUAGCAUUCGUCCUAGUGUAGCUUGUCACCACAUUUGAUACCUGUACCCGUCUAAUACCUCUUGCAAGCAUAGAGUAUCCGUUGUUAUGUUCCCAGUCACCACAUGUGGAACCAGUCUAAUAUCUUGUCAACUUAGAUCGUCCGUCAUUGUGUUGUGGUACCAGUAUAUUGUAUUCUGUUAACAUAGAAUAUCCAUUAUUGUGUUCACAGAUACCACAUGUGGACCCGUCUAAUGUAUUUUGUCGACAAUGAUUAUCCGCCAUUAUGUUAUGAUACCCAUCUAAUUUCUCUCAUGUACAUAGUGUAUUCGUCAUUGUGUUCCCAGUCUCCACAUGUGUUUUCCGCCGAUGAGUUACCCCGCCAGAGGAAGGAAUGUGCUGAAUGACUAACCAACAUUUCUAUCGAAUUAUAUAAUGCUUAAUUUCUUUCCAAUAAUUCAUUAUAUGUAUAUAGUGACUUCAAUAUUCCAAUUUUUAAAAAAAAACAACAGAUGUCUCACCACCAAUAGGUCAGGAUAAUACUGAAUGGAGCAGCACAUGCUAUCUCUAUAUAUUUCCAGUGACGAAUUAAGUAAGCUAUUCCAGACAGGAUUAUUAGACCCAACGCAAAGAAGUACUCGCUGACGAUUCCGGCAAACGUUCGCUUUGUGGGUCCUACAAGUUCCAUUCCUGUAAUAUGACAAUUGACAGUAUUAUGUUACGUAUGGUUUUCUACAUUAUUGAUACUAGUACAACAUUCGUAUACGUUUGAAAACAUUAAGACGCUCAAGUGCUUCCGUGUUUAAAAGUGAAAACAAAAUUAAAAUCAAAUUGAAUUGGAAAAUUUAGUUUCCUGACAAAUAACACAACACAAUACCUGUAUUAUAACUAUAACAAAAGGCACUGGUUGUUUUCGGAUUCGAAAAAUGAAGAUAAUACCUGAUAUUAUUUACAGCUGUCUUGAAGGAAUAUAGACUAUUAUACGUACCGAUCACAAAUCCGACUAAGAAGACUCCCUGAGUUGUCGCCCCUAUAGCGGUCAUGAAUAUGGCGAACGCAAUAUAGUUUGGACUGAACGCUAAAGCCAAAGUUGAGGCCAACAUAAGAAUGACUCCGAUGUAGAAUGUUUUUUUCCGUCCGAUUCUGGUGAGAUAUGUCAGUACAUCAUGUGGUAAUAUCUUACGUCCUCACUGUACAAUACUAGCUACAUAAAGGUAUUUUUAUAGAGUUA